AAGGGCACCACCAGGAGUGGAGCCUGCGGCUUAAUUUGACUCAACACGGGGAAACUUACCAGGUCCUGACAUAGUAAGGAUUGACAGAUUGACAGCUCUUUCUUGAUUCUAUGGGUGGUGGUGCAUGGCCGUUCUUAGUUGGUGGAGUGAUUUGUCUGGUUAAUUCCGAUAACGAACGAGACCUUAACCUGCUAACUAGUUCAUUCCAUUACAUGGUUUGCAACUUCUUAGAGGGACUAUGUGUCGAUAAGCACAUGGAAGUUUGAGGCAAUAACAGGUCUGUGAUGCCCUUAUAUGUCCUGGGCUGCACGCGUGCUACACUGAUGCAUACAACAAGUUCCUAGUCUGACAAGGAUCAAACAAUGGCAAUCUUUAAUAUGCAUCGUGAUGGGGAUAGAUCUUUGCAAUUAUAGAUCUUGAACGAGGAAUUCCUAGUAAGUGCAAGUCAUNAUCUUGCANUGAUUAUGUCCCUGCCCUUUG
rnacentral:rRNA from 1 species